rnacentral:antisense_RNA from 1 species
UUUAAUCUAUAGAGUGUUAUUCUACACUGGACCUCUCUCUUAUUUUUUGGAGUCUAGCAUCUUGCAUCUUCCUGGAGCCCCAACUAAACUCAUAACUUCUAAGCUUCUAAGAAAUAUAUGACGAGCUCCAUGAGGGCCAAGGCUGUCCAUUCCUGUUUACCACUGCACACUCAGGAGCUCAUGGCAUGCUGGCUGUGCUAGUUCUAUCCUCAACAGAAUAAUUGCUGACAAACUCUCUUGCCCAGAAAAUGUCUACUGGAAUUAUGGAGUACAAAAAAACUACAAAAGCAAUGAAAAAAAGAAGGAUGUUUUAUUUACAUCCUAUUUCAAAACCAUUGCUUUCUUGCUAUUGUAUGUCUCUGCAGGCCCAAUAUCGCGCAUCUUCAUAAGAAGUUUAGAAUUGUUCCUUAUGUUUCCUUCUAACAAACACUGGUGUUAAGUUUCAAGAAGUUGGUGAAAUGGAGACAGCCAAUCCAACCCAGGAGACAGUGUUUGAAAACAGGGCUUCAGCUACUUGCAUGAUGUGGAUUGGGGAAAUGGUCUGUCCUCCUAGCCAUGGGAUGUCCCUGCUGUGUUCAGGAAUCUUUCCAUCUCUUGGAUUUUAAAGGUUAAUUUUUCCUUCCCUAUAAAGAUAGGGCCUUUAUAGAGGUAAUCGCCUUAAAAUGAGGCUAUUAGAGUGGCCUUAAUCCAAUAUCACUAGAGUUCUUAGAAGAAGGGGACAUUUGGACACAGAGACAUGGGGAGAACGCCAUAUGAAGACGAAGGCAGAGAUUCAUCUACAAACCAAGGAACUACAAAGACUGCCAGCAGCCCCCAGAAGCCAGGCGGCAGACAUGGAACAGAUUCUCCCUCACAGCUGUCAGGAGGAGCCAACCCUGCCUCCAGAAUUGUGAAGCACUAAGUUUCUGUUGUUUAGGCCUUCCAGUCUCUGCUACUUUAUUGCAACAACUCUAGCAAAUUAAUGCACAAAUGGCAGAAUGGUAUUUUUCAACUUUUAUGAGAAAAGUAAAGGCAGUUAUAGUAGAAGAGAGCAUCAUGAGUCGACUGUGCCUGAGUACAGCCCUCAGAUAGGGCUGUUUGCUUUUCCCCAACUAUGCUUCAUACUUUUUUCUUUUCAUAUGUUUUUUUUGAGUCGGGGUCUUGCUCUGCUGCCCAGGUUGGAGUGCAGUGUCAUGAUCAUAGCUCACUGUAACCUCGACCUUCUGAGCUUGAGUGAUCCUCCUGUCUCAGCCUCCCAAGUAGCUGAGACUACAGGUGCAUGCCAACACACCUGGCUAUUUAUUUGUUUUUAUUUUAUUGUAGAGACAGGGUCUCACUGUGUUGCCCAGGCUGGCCUCAAACUCCUGGCCUUAAGUCAUCCUCCCGUCUUGGCCUCCCAAAGUGCUGGGACUAUGAGCGUGAACCCAUCGCACCCAGACAUUUUAUGCUUUUUUAAUUUGGAGUGUCUUUCCUUUCCAUGCACGCCUGUAGAAUUUAUGAUUAUCAUUAAGCCCAAAGAAGACUUUCACAUAAAUUCUGCCGUAACCCUUGUUGGAAUAAAUAUAUUCCUCUAAGCUCCCUCUAGCUCUAUUUGUAUCUUUAUUAUAAAUAUUAAUAUAUCUUUCCUUGCAUUGCUGUUACAUGUAUGCACAUCUUAUCUUCUGCCAAUAAAUAAGCCUCGUCCCUUGGGGGAAGGGCUAACCUUUCCUCCUUCUGGUAUUGCUCAGGAUGCUGACCACAGCACCCUGCACAGAGAAGAGGUUUAAUAUUUAUUUGAUUACUUAAAUUGCAUAAGAGGGAUCUACCUACUUGUGAAAAAGGUUGCUGUGACCUGUGUUCCUUCUUCUGUGACAAGAAACUAAAAUGUACAUAUAUUUAUUCUCUUCUUAAUGUUCUUUCGAGUUUUAUCUCCUUCCUGGAUCUGGUUCACCAGAUUUCCUCCCCUCCUUUUUUUUCAUCAAUACAAAACUUCAAGUCGCAGUCUUGCCAAUAAUUCUUCUUUGACUAAUUUAUGAGUUAAAUAAAGAAAAAAUUCCUCACACACAUAUCAUGUCCAAGGUCAGCUCAACAUUGCUUUAUUCCACACCUCUCAAUGGGUGCAUGAUGCGGGCCCACUUUAACACUGUAUCAGUGGUUGAUUCCUACGUGCAGAUCUUUCUGCUCUUUUUGCCUGAAUUAUCUUCAAUGUUCUUUGUGCAAAAAUCACAGCCAGUAUAGUCUAUUUCCAAAAGAGCUGUAAAGAGGCAUUUCAGAAACUUCCCUAAACAAUAUUUCUUUAAAAUGCACCAAGCUGGAUAAAGCCGCUUUGUGACCUGCAUAAAAACUCCAACGGAUAAAUGUGUAUUACCUUCCCAAAGAACUACUUCUCCAAAGUUAUUCCAGCUCUUUCCAGUUGAAAUGUCAAACUUGACAUAAAAAUGAGAUGUUCUUGCAUCAAUUAAUAAACAAAUAAAUCUGUGUUUCCCAUUG